rnacentral:lncRNA from 1 species
GUGAUUUGUGGUUUCAAAGUAGUUUCAUUGGUAUAAAUAUUGACUUGGUGGAGAUUUUUUAAUUUGAAUGCCUCAUUUUUGAUUAUGAACUCAAGAAGAGUGGUUACCCUCUUCUUCAUCAAAGUCUGUGCGCACGUACGUACAUACAUACAUAAAUCUCACCCUUCUUUUCUGCAUAUCACAAUUCCACUCAAAUAAGUCUAACAAUUUUCAAUUGUUCAUAAAUAU